GUGCUUGCUUGAACAGCACAUAUAUUAAAAUUGGUAUGAUACAAAGAAGACUAGCAUGGCCCUGUGCAAGGAUGACAUGCAAAUUCAUGAAGUGUUCCAUCUUUUU
ensembl:snRNA U6 U6 spliceosomal RNA